GACUGUCUCAGUACUUUUAAACUUUAUUCAAAAACUCAGCUGGCAGGGCCAGUGAAUUUGGACGUGAAUUCGUUGGAUUUGAACGUGAAUUCGUUGGAUUUAAUGCUGUAAUUUUGUCGUUUGAUUUUUUCAUGCCCGAGUCAUAGACGAAUAACAGGCCUUACUUGGGCUUCCAGUUAUCCGACAAGGCACAAAAGUUGAACUAUAGUCUAUACAGUAUAAGCCUAAAGGCAUUUAUAAUUUGGUGUAAAGCAGUAAAAGUGACCUAACUCAUUGUUUGAGCAUGUCAUCAAUGGCACAAUGCUGGGCUCGAAUCUACAUAUAAUACAGGCCUUAAUCUAUGGAAGUUAUUACUAUGACUAUGAAUGACUAUGUCUAUGGAAUCAAGACAAGGACACGGUUCUGAUCCUUACGCGUUUUUUUUUAUCAUGAACUAUCAUUUGUAUGAAUUAUUGAUUCAUACUUUUCAAAACUCGUUCAUAAUUCACAGCCCUCAGCUGCAUGUGCUAUCGUAUAGAUCAGGUCAAUGAUAUUGAUCUAUAUAUGUGUAUGUGAAACACAUCUCAUGAGCCAAAGUGUUUUGACGUCACCAAGUUGCGUCCCCGACCUUCGACCAGUCAGCGCCAAGACCUCGGGCAAUCUCGUACCCGAUGGCUCUGGGUACGAGAUUGGAACUCGGGUCCAAAAAGUGGAGCCAAAGAUGGCGGAAAUUGAC
rnacentral:lncRNA from 1 species